rnacentral:rRNA from 1 species
CCUACGGGCCGCACCAGUGGGGAAUAUUGCACAAUGGGCGCAAGCCUGAUGCAGCCAUGCCGCGUGUAUGAAGAAGGCCUUCGGGUUGUAAAGUGCUUUCAGCGGGGAGGAAGGCGAUAAGGUUAAUAACCUUGUCGAUUGACGUUACCCGCAGAAGAAGCACCGGCUAACUCCGUGCCAGCAGCCGCGGUAAUACGGAGGGUGCAAGCGUUAAUCGGAAUUACUGGGCGUAAAGCGCACGCAGGCGGUCUGUCAAGUCGGAUGUGAAAUCCCCGGGCUCAACCUGGGAACUGCAUUCGAAACUGGCAGGCUAGUGUCUUGUAGAGGGGGGUAGAAUUCCAGGUGUAGCGGUGAAAUGCGUAGAGAUCUGGAAGAAUACCGGUGGCGAAGGCGGCCCCCUGGACAAAGACUGACGCUCAGGUGCGAAAGCGUGGGGAGCAAACAGGGAUUAGAUACCCCAGUAGUC